UGGGGAAUUUUGCACAAUGGGGGAAACCCUGAUGCAGCGACGCCGCGUGAUUUAGAAGGCCUUCGGGUUGUAAAAAUCUUUUUUACGGGAUGAAAAUGACAGUACCGUAAGAAUAAGGUCCGGCUAAAUACGUGCCAGCAGCCGCGGUAAUACGUAUGGACCGAGCGUUGUCCGGAAUCAUUGGGCGUAAAGGGUACGUAGGCGGCCUAGUAAGUUAGAAGUGAAAUAAUAUAGCUCAACUAUAUAAAGCUUUUAAAACUGCUAGGCUUGAGAGAUGGAAGGGAAAGUGGAAUUCCUAGUGUAGCGGUGAAAUGCGCAGAUAUUAGGAAGAAUACCGGUGGCGAAGGCGACUUUCUGGUCAUCAUCUGACGCUGAGGUACGAAAACGUGGGUAGCAAACAGG
rnacentral:rRNA from 1 species